AGGGCACCGUGUCCACCCACAACAAUGGGUCAGCGACGGACAACACAGUGCAGACUGAGUGGUCAGGGCACGCUUCAUGAAAGAGUGCCAGGUGAGGUGUCCAGCGAGGUGUCACAGCCCCGGCAGUAGAGAGUGGUUCGCUCAUGGGUAGCAAGAAGAAUUUACCAACAACAGCAUAGGCUUGAAAUGGAAUGUCUUAUUAGAUGGGAAGAACGCUGCAGCCGAGUGCAGAGGGGCAUCUCAGCAAGAGAGGACUGAGUGCACCGCGGUGGAUUAUCCUUCACGGUCACUCUCGAGCCAGACAGCGAGCCAGACAGUGGGUUUAAACCUGAGCUGCACCUCAUGCUGGCUGGGUUUCCUUUGUGCUGAACACAUCUGCCUUCCCAGUAGACACUGACGGAGCUUCUGAAGAACAAGUUUUCUCCUUCUUGUGUCCCAGGCUUGCUGAAGGGCGUGACAUUUAAAUGUUUGCAUUUACUUGAAUCGCACAUUAUUGAAUCUGAUAAAACUGAAAGAUUUUCAGGAGAAGAUAAUGUCUAGCUCUUGACAGACAAAUUUGUACAUCAACUUGCAACUAUCCACACCUGGGAGCUUGUUAAGAGCACCAAGUCUUGGGUUCCAUCCCAAAACUACUGGAUCAAAAUCUACAUAUUUAACAAGAUCUCCAGUUCACAUCAGUGCUGAAGAGGUUCUGCAGCCGUAAAGGUGGAUGUUUCCAUGAGUGUUCGGGACAUCAAUUCAUCCUCAUUAGACAUUAGAUCCAUGCUGGGAAUCUUCAGGUCAGCAAUUUGAACCAGCCCCAGAUCCACCAAAGCUGCAGUCAGAAGAACAAGACACAGAGAAGGAGUGACAAGAACCAGAAAGCUUCCGAGAGUGCAAGCGUUUUUUUCUUUAUCCGAUUCGAUGCUCUGGAGAAAAUUAAACAGUUAAAUCAGUCAC